UCUCCGUAGGUGAACCUGCGGAGGGAUCAUUACAGAGUUCUCGCCCUCGCGGGUAGAUCCCCCACCCACUGUUAUCGUUACUGUGUUGCUUUGGCGGGCCGCCGGGCCCCGCUCGGCCGCCGGCUCCGGCUGGCGCGCGCCCGCCAGAGGCCCAGCAAACUCCGAAUGCUAGUGUCGUCUGAGUACUAUAUAAUAGUUAAAACUUUCAACAACGGAUCUCUUGGUUCUG
rnacentral:misc_RNA from 1 species